rnacentral:pre_miRNA from 1 species
GUUCUACUCCCUCCAAUCCAUAUUAAUUGUCGAAAUAUUACAUGUUUCUAUACGCGUUUUAGGCAUAGAUACAUCUAAGUUUGGGCAAAUUUGAGACAAUUAAUAUGGAUCGGAGGGAGUAUUAU